UACGGAGGGUGCAAGCGUUAUCCGGAUUCACUGGGUUUAAAGGGUGCGUAGGUGGGCAGGUAAGUCAGUGGUGAAAUCUCUGGGCUUAACCCAGAAACUGCCGUUGAUACUAUCUGUCUUGAAUAUAGUGGAGGUGAGCGGAAUAUGUCAUGUAGCGGUGAAAUGCUUAGAUAUGACAUAGAACACCAAAUUGCGAAGGCAGCUCGCUACACUAUUAUUGACACUGAGGCACGAAAGCGUGGGGAUCAAACAGG
rnacentral:rRNA from 1 species